rnacentral:misc_RNA from 1 species
AAGGAUCAUUACCGAGUGCGGGCCCUCUGGGUCCAACCUCCCAUCCGUGUCUAUCUGUACCCUGUUGCUUCGGCGUGGCCACGGCCCGCCGAAGACUAACAUUUGAACACUGUCUGAAGUUUGCAGUCUGAGUUUUUAGUUAAACAAUAAUUAAAACUUUCAACAACGGAUCUCUUGGUUCCGGCAUCGAUGAAGAACGCAGCGAAAUGCGAUAAUUAAUGUGAAUUGCAGAAUUCAGUGAAUCAUCGAGUCUUUGAACGCACAUUGCGCCCCCUGGUAUUCCGGGGGGCAUGCCUGUCCGAGCGUCAUUGCUGCCCUCAAGCACGGCUUGUGUGUUGGGCUUCCGUCCCUGGUAACGGGGACGGGCCCAAAAGGCAGUGGCGGCACCAUGUCUGGUCCUCGAGCGUAUGGGGCUUUGUCACCCGCUCCCGUAGGUCCAGCUGGCAGCUAGCCUCGCAACCAAUCUUUUUAACCAGGUUGACCUCGGAUCAGGUAGGGAUACCCGCUGAACUUAAGCAUAUCAAUAAGCGGAGGAA